CAUGAAGAGACAAAAACCAAAAGAGCCAUUGAGCAGUCAGUCAAGACUACUGGGAAGCUCAAGGAGGACAUGUGCAAUGCACAGAUAAAAGAAGAUAUUUUUGCAAUGAAUUUUGAAGCGGAAAACCACAAGUCAGCAACAGCCAAAAUCCUGAAUGACCUAGCAGAGCUUCAUGAUCUCCUUCUGAAAGGAUGGUCAGAGGACAGCUCUAUUCAAAAGGAAUUUUUGGAGAAUGAGCGCGAAAUACUAAAAGCAGUGACAGCUCUAAUAACAAAAAUUCAACAACGAGAGAAAAAGAUUAGUGAUAUUAAUAGCAGGCUACAAAAUAAAUUGGAAGGACUUGAUUCUCUGGUUGAGAAAACAUCCAGAGUGACUCACUAUUCGGCUGAAGGCUAAAACACUGGAGCCCAGAAGGCAAGGUAAACAUUUGGUUAUGCCAUGCAUGGCCCAUAUAGUGCUCUGAGUUCCUGUAAGCUCUGCUUUUAAUAGACUCCCUGAUUCUUGGACAUUUAAAAUUAAUAUGAUUCUACACCUAGCAAUAGAUGUACUCUUCACUAAAGGUAAUUUUUAACCUGAGAUUUGUUGUUGCUUUUCUUUUUAAAAACAGUAUGUAGCCUAACUUUUAAACCUGGUCCACCUUGUCCAUACAGAAUGCACAUGCAAGUGUACAGACAUCAUUACUGUACAUUUGUGAAUGCAUUUUUCUGCAUGCUGCUGCAUUGGCUGCUCACUUAUCCACUCCACGUACCAACGCAGCCACUGUGCGCAGAUAUAGGCACAAAACUGUACUUAGGACAUUUUAAAGAAAAAUGUGCCUGUGAAACUGUGAGUUACUGGAAAUUGUUAUUUUAAUACGUGAAGUUAAGAUUGUAUUUUUAGAAUUGUCCUCUAGAUUCACGUGUCUGCAAAUUACAUUUUGUAUGUAGCAGUAUAGACAGAAUUUGCUUGAUUUCCUUAAGGAGAUCAAUUACUUCC
rnacentral:lncRNA from 1 species